AUUGAACGCUGGCGGCAUGCUUUACACAUGCAAGUCGAACGGUAACAGGCCUUCGGGUGCUGACGAGUGGCGAACGGGUGAGUAAUGCAUCGGAACAUACCCAGUCGUGGGGGAUAACGUAGCGAAAGUUACGCUAAUACCGCAUACGUCCUGAGGGAGAAAGCGGGGGAUCGCAAGACCUCGCGCGAUUGGAGUGGCCGAUGUCAGAUUAGCUAGUUGGUGGGGUAAAGGCCCACCAAGGCGACGAUCUGUAGCGGGUCUGAGAGGAUGAUCCGCCACACUGGGACUGAGACACGGCCCAGGCUCCUACGGGAGGCAGCAGUGGGGAAUUUUGGACAAUGGGGGAAACCCUGAUCCAGCCAUGCCGCGUGCGGGAAGAAGGCCUCGGUUGUAACGUACGUUCUACGCCGGAAGAAAGUACGACACGGACCGAACUAACUACU
rnacentral:rRNA from 1 species